CUCGACUCAUGAAGCUGGAAUCGCUAGUAAUCGCAGAUCAGAGUGCUGCGGUGAAUACGUUCCCGGGUCUUGUACACACCGCCCGUCACACCAUGGGAGUCGGAAAUGCCCGAAGCCGGUGACCAAACCAAUAAGGAAGGAGCCGUCGAAGGCAGGUCUGAUAACUGGGGUGAAGUCGUAACAAGGUAAC
rnacentral:rRNA from 1 species